CUGUUAUGAGAACCAUGGGGGCAAUCCAGGCUGCUGGGACCACACACUUCUGCUAUGAGCAUCUGCAGGGAGCCCUCGACUUCAGCUGGGAGUAGGUGGUGAAAACUUUGGAAGGCCAAGUGCAGAGAACUCCACCUGGGAUUUAAUCUGGAAACCGGCAAGGGGAGUCCCCACCCCCACCCCCUCACCAUCACCCGGUGCUGCUGCUACAGAGGUUUCACAAUGCGGUUCUCCAGAGCUGCGCUGUGCAGAGGGUGAUCUGCUCAAGGUGCUGAAUCCCGGGGACCCUGAUUAGAGCAGAUGUCGCUGCGGGAACUGAGUCUAGACAUGGAAAUUGUGUCCCUAAUCUCCCAAACCCGCCUUUUCUACAUUCUCUGAAGACGCUGUUUCUGUCAACAGUCACUGUGGGAGCCAAGCCGGAAACACGUGUGCAAUCAGCAGCCGCAGCAUCUACAAAGCGUUAUGAAAUCCGUUCAAAAAUAG
rnacentral:lncRNA from 1 species